rnacentral:snoRNA from 13 species
GUCAGAUGAUUAGAGACAAUCAAACUGAUGUUCUGUGAGGCCUGACAAUUAAUAGCAUGUUAGAGUUCUGAUGGCA